UACGGGGGGCGCAAGCGUUGUCCGGAAUUAUUGGGCGUAAAGAGCUCGUAGGUGGUUUGUUACGUCUGCUGUGAAAACCUAGGGCUUAACCCUGGGCUUGCAGUGGAUACGGGCAGACUAGAGGUAGGUAGGGGAGAAUGGAAUUCCUGGUGUAGCGGUGAAAUGCGCAGAUAUCAGGAGGAACACCGGUGGCGAAGGCGGUUCUCUGGGCUUACCUGACACUGACGGAGCGAAAGCGUGGGGAGCGAACAGG
rnacentral:rRNA from 1 species